UGCAGUCGAGCGGACAGAUGGGAGCUUGCUCCCUGAUGUUAGCGGCGGACGGGUGAGUAACACGUGGGUAACCUGCCUGUAAGACUGGGAUAACUCCGGGAAACCGGGGCUAAUACCGGAUGGUUGUUUGAACCGCAUGGUUCAGACAUAAAAGGUGGCUUCGGCUACCACUUACAGAUGGACCCGCGGCGCAUUAGCUAGUUGGUGAGGUAACGGCUCACCAAGGCGACGAUGCGUAGCCGACCUGAGAGGGUGAUCGGCCACACUGGGACUGAGACACGGCCCAGACUCCUACGGGAGGCAGCAGUAGGGAAUCUUCCGCAAUGGACGAAAGUCUGACGGAGCAACGCCGCGUGAGUGAUGAAGGUUUUCGGAUCGUAAAGCUCUGUUGUUAGGGAAGAACAAGUGCCGUUCAAAUAGGGCGGCACCUUGACG
rnacentral:rRNA from 1 species